rnacentral:rRNA from 1 species
AGGACGAACGCUGGCGGCGUGCCUAAUACAUGCAAGUCGAACGGUCUUUCUAUGGAAGCUUGCUUCCACUGAGAAGAUAGUGGCGAACGGGUGAGUAACACGUGGGUAACCUGCCCAUAAGAGGGGGAUAACAUCCGGAAACGGGUGCUAAUACCGCAUAGUUUUCUGAUCGCAUGAUUGAGAAAGGAAAGACGGCCUUUGUGCUGUCGCUUAUGGAUGGACCCGCGGCGUAUUAGUUAGUUGGUGAGGUAACGGCUCACCAAGACGAUGAUACGUAGCCGACCUGAGAGGGUGAUCGGCCACAUUGGGACUGAGACACGGCCCAAACUCCUACGGGAGGCAGCAGUAGGGAAUCUUCCGCAAUGGACGAAAGUCUGACGGAGCAACGCCGCGUGAGUGAAGAAAGGUUUUCGGAUCGUAAAACUCUGUUGUCAGAGAAGAACAAGUUGGAGAGUAACUGCUCCAGCCUUGACGGUAUCUGACCAGAAAGCCACGGCUAACUACGUGCCAGCCGCAGC